rnacentral:rRNA from 1 species
UACGUAGGGGGCAAGCGUUGUCCGGAAUCAUUGGGCGUAAAGAGCGCGUAGGCGGUCCGGUAAGUCCGCUGUAAAAGUCACAGGCUCAACCUGUGAAAGCCGGUGGAUACUGCCAGGCUAGAGUCCGGAAGAGGCGAGUGGAAUUCCUGGUGUAGCGGUGGAAUGCGCAGAUAUCAGGAGGAACACCUAUGGCGAAGGCAGCUCGCUGGGACGGUACUGACGCUGAGGCGCGAAAGCGUGGGGAGCAAACAGG